rnacentral:rRNA from 1 species
UGAGCAAUCUGCCCUUCUCUUCGGAAUAAGCGUUGGAAACGACGUCUAAUGCCGAAUACGACCUCCUUUCGCAUGAUCGGAGGUGGAAAGCUCCGGCGGAGAAGGAUGAGCUCGCGGCCUAUCAGCUAGUUGGUGUGGGUAAUGGCCCACCAAGGCGACGACGGGUAGCCGGCCUGAGAAGGUGACCGGCCACACUGGGACUGAGACACGGCCCAGACCUCCGUACGGGAGGNAG